rnacentral:pre_miRNA from 1 species
AUGUAAAUCAUCUGGAAUCUUGUUAAAAUGCAGACUCUGAUUCAGGAAGUCUGGUCCAGGGCCUGAGAUUCUGAAUUCCUAACAAGCUUCCAAGGGAUGCUAAU